rnacentral:rRNA from 1 species
GAUGAACGCUAGCGACAGGCUUAACACAUGCAAGUCGAGGGGCAGCACGGGAGUAGCAAUACAACUGGUGGCGACCGGCGCACGGGUGAGUAACGCGUAUGCAACCUACCUAUCAGAGGGGAAUAACCCGGCGAAAGUCGGACUAAUACCGCAUAAAACAGGGGCACCGCAUGGUGAUAUUUGUUAAAGAAAUUCGCUGAUAGAUGGGCAUGCGUUCACUUAGUUAGUUGGGGAGGUAACGGCUAACCAAGACGACGAUGGAUAGGGGAACUGAGAGGUUGGUCCCCCACACGGGUACUGAGACACGGACCAGACUCCUACGGGAGGCAGCAGUGAGGAAUAUGGGUCAAUGGGCGAGAGCCUGAACCAGCCAAGUCGCGUGAAGGAAGAAGGAUCUAUGGUUCGUAAACUUCUUUUGCAGGGGAAUAAAGUGCAGGACGUGUCCUGUUUUGUAUGUACCCUGAGAAUAAGGAUCGGCUAACUCCGUGCCAGCCGCCGCCGUAAAAC